rnacentral:rRNA from 1 species
UAGGGUCCUGAGAAMCGAUGCYUAAGUYUUCUGGAAAGGAGCGCCAUGSAGGGYGAUAGCCCCGUCUAGCAUUGACCUCAUAUAGGAUCUUAACAUGGAGUCGAGUUGUUUGGGAAUGCAGCUCAAAUGGGUGGUAUGCUCCAUCUAAAGCUAAAUAUMUGCGAGAGACCGAUAGUAAACAAGUACUGUGAGGGAAAGAUGAAAAGAACUUUGAAAAGAGAGUGAAAAAGUACGUGAAAUUGUUGAAAUGGAAGGGUAGGCCGCUAACCAUGUAGAGCCGUGUUUGGGGGGAAGAUAAAUSCUGYWGMAUGUAGCUCCUCGGAGUAUUAUAGAUGCAGUUCAUAUUCCCACCCGAGCGCGAGGAUCUCAGU